rnacentral:rRNA from 1 species
GAUGAACGCUAGCGGCAGGCUUAAUACAUGCAAGUCGAGGGGCAGCGCGGUGUGGCAAUACACUGGCGGCGACCGGCAAACGGGUGCGGAACACGUACGCAACCUACCCAAAACUGAUGAAUAGCCCUCCGAAAGGAGGAUUAAUACAUCGUAACAUAAUGAGGUGGCAUCACUUUAUUAUUAUAGCUCCGGCGGUUUUGGAUGGGCGGGCGACUGAUUAGGUAGUUGGCGGGGUAACGGCCCACCAAGCCUGCGAUCAGUAACUGGUGUGAGAGCACGACCAGUCACACGGGCACUGAGACACGGGCCCGACUCCUACGGGAGGCAGCAGUAAGGAAUAUUGGUCAAUGGACGCAAGUCUGAACCAGCCAUGCCGCGUGGAGGAUGAAGGUCCUCUGGAUUGUAAACUUCUUUUAUAUGGGACGAAACCUCUUAUUCUUAAGAGACUGACGGUACCAUAGGAAUAAGCACCGGCUAACUCCGUGCCAGCCGCCGCAGUAACAC